UACGGGGGGUGCGAGCGUUAAUCGGAAUUACUGGGCGUAAAGGGCAUGCAGGCGGUUGUUUAAGUGCGGUGUGAAAGCCCUGGGCUUAACCUGGGAAUUGCAGUUCAGACUGGACAACUAGAGUACUUUAGGGAGGGGUAGAAUUCCACGUGUAGCGGUGAAAUGCGUAGAGAUGUGGAGGAAUACCGAAGGCGAAGGCAGCCCCGUGGGAAUGUACUGACACUCA
rnacentral:rRNA from 1 species